ensembl:lncRNA
UUCCAAGCUGAAGACAUGAGUUUAUUGAAUGUCUGAGAGAUUUGCAUUUAAAUACAGAAAAAAAAAACCACCAAUACAUCCUGAACAGUUUACUGUAUGAGAGUCUCCAGUAUUCUUAUAACACAGUUUACAAAAAAAAGUUACUACAUCUAAAUAUGAAGGUUAUAUUCCACUUAAAAUAUGCACAAUUAGAGAGUCACUUCAUAAAGAGUUGUAGGUCAAAGUCAGAACAAUAAAUUACUAGGAUACAGUUUUAUUAAAGGCUUGAUUUCCAUGUAAACUUCCAUCCUAUUUAAAACAUUUGCUCAGGCAAGAAAAUAAUUGGUUUCCAGUAAACAAAAUAUCUAAUCUACGGCAGUUAGCUGUGUCUUUUAACAUAGAAUACAAAUCUAGGCUAUGGAAAUUCCCUUAAGAAUUGCAUAAAUAGCUAUACAAUGUUUUUUGGAAGUCUUCUUUCUUCUAACUAUGCCUAUUUUUCGUAUUAAACUUACGUAAGCUACCAUCUAAACUACUACUACUGGUUUUAAUAAAUUUGCCCACAAGUGUAGCAGUGUUCAAGAGUACUGAAAGCAACUAAUUUAUUGAAAUAUCAUGCAUCUUUUGGCUUGCAGUAGGAUUUUUUUUUUUUUUUUUUGGUACAAAUGAAUUAUGUAACAGGAAAAGAAACUAUCAUGUUCUGGGAGAUAUGUAGUAUACUAGCAGUUAUGUAGUUUCUGUUUAAAAUUGCUGUGGAGGACAGAAAUGGAUAAUACCACACUUCUAUUCACAGCAGCUAGAAUACAACCUUUGUAUUAAUUUGUAUUCAUUCUUUUGCCCAUUAAAACACUCUAAAGAGAUUAUAAUUAUCAGUAGGAAAUAGAAGUAUUUAAGUACCAUAACUGAGAAAUAGCUUAUAUUAAUCAUAUUCAGUAACAGUAUUCAGGCUUUAAAAUCUGAAAUUUCCUUAAAAACCCCUCACAAACAAAAAUUAGUUUAAUAAUUCUUAUAUGGAUUUAUGGAAAACAAAGCCUGCUUUUCUUAAUUUAACCUAUUAAAUAUGGCCUACUUAUACCUCAAUAAAAGGUUGUCAAACAUCGCAGCAGAAUUUGAAGCAUUCAGGGCUUUCAGAAAUGGCCAUGCUAUUUGUGUUUUUAUUAAUCCAAGCCUUACUGAUAAACAAUCAUAACAAAAUUAAGGUAAUUUGCAGUUUACAAUUAAGUACAGUAGCGCCAAGCCUGAAUUAGAACUAUCACCUACCACAUCCCUUUAAAAAUAGAGUCUUUCAUAUUCCUCAGUGAAAAUUUUAAGGGGGCUUUCAUCUUUCUUGCCUGUCAGGCAAAUCAUUAUUUGUGCAAAUUUAAAUACAGUACAUUGACCUUAAUGUAACAGUGGACAGAUAGUGAAGGAAGAAAUGUUCAACAAAUCUGUUGCAGACUUUUUCAGAGUGCAGAGUAUGUCUACAAUAAAGUGCUUCUCUUAAUAAGUUAUAUUGAUAAUAGUAUAGAUGUUUACCUAGUUUUAAAGCUUAAAUUUCUUAGUAAAUGGUUUAAUCUCCCUGUACCUCCCCAGUCCCGCAAGGCACAUUCAAAACACAAGCAAAGCACUAACUGUGAAGGAGUAAGCUACAAUAAAAAGUUCUAAGUGGUAGUAAACUACUGACUAGGUUUGUAAACAGUACUAUCCCAUUGAAUCUCAAGGUUCAUGCAUUAUUUAAGUGAGUUUCUGUGGAAGCAGCUUUUGAACUCCAGACUUAACAAUCAAGCCAGCUUUCUUGAUAAUACACUACUGCGCCUUAGUAUUUUAAUGUGAAAUCCCACUUCUUUUGUCACUUGCAUGAAAACAAAUGUCACAUUUCAUGCAUUAAAGCCUUUAAACUUCAUUUACACUUAACAGAACUGAUCACUGGCUGGUUUAGAUCUGUUAUGUUUUGGGUUUGGUUUUUU